UGUGUGGGAGCCUACAAGGACAACGACAUCAGAACAGUGACAUCACAGACAAGCCCUCCACCCAGAGCAAAGUAAUACUCAAAGCCUCUGCUUUCUCACCCCAAACACCAGAGCCCAGAUGUGGGAGAUGGCCAGUCUUGUCCUGCCUGAAUCUUCCAGUGGCAAUUGGCUCCUCUGCUGUGUGGCCCUCUGCCUUCUGGGGGCAGGUUCUGUGGCUGCUGGAGUCACCCAGUUCCCAAGACACCUAAUCAAAGUCCAAGGGGGGAAGGCUGUUCUGAAGUGUCAUCCCAUCUCCGGACAUAAUACGGUGUACUGGUACCAGCAGGCUCUGGGACACGGCCCCCAGUUCCUCAUUAGUUUUUAUGAAAAGCAGGAGGGACAGAAAGGAAACAUCCCAGAUCGGUUCUCAGGAAAACAGUUCAAUAACUACAGCUCUGAGCUGGCCAUGAGCGCCUUGCAGCUGGGAGACUCAGCCGUGUAUCUCUGUGCCAGCAGCUUAGACACAGCCCUGCAGGGUCAAUGA